UCACUGAGCAGAUUUUUAAAGAGCCGCAGUAUUUUGACCGUGCAAAGGUAGCAUAAUCAUUAGUCUCUUAAUUAGUGGCUGGAAUGAUUGGCUUGAUGAGAAAUCAACUGUCUCUUAAUAAAUUUUUGAAUUUAACUUUUGAGUCAAAAGGCUUAAAUUUUUCUUUAGGACGAGAAGACCCUAUAGAGCUUAACAUUUUAUUUUUAUAUAGUUUUUUGUUUGUCUUUCUAUAUUUAAUGAUGAUGACAUGAUUGGGGUGACAUGAAGAAUAAAUAAACUCUUCAUUAUUAUAUCAUUUAUUUAUGUUUGUUGUUUUGAUAUAUAAUUUUUGAUCAUAAGAUUAAGUUACCUUAGGGAUAAGAGCGUAAUUGUUUUUGAGAGCUCAUAUCGACAAAGCAGAUUGCGACCUCGAUGUUGGAUUAAGAAAAAUUUUGGGUGCAGUAGCCCAGUAAUUAGGUCUGUUCGACCUUUAAAUUCUUACAUGAUCUGAGUUCAGACCGGCGUGAGCCAGGUCGGUUUCUAUCCUAAGAUUAUUAAUUCAUAUUAGUACGAAAGGACCAUUUGGUUGAAAAAUUUUUUAUUUUAUAGAUUAAUACUAAUUAAAUUA